UUACCGGCUGACAUAUUUGAAAGGGAUCUUGGAGCAGGUGUUGCAUGGCUGUCGUCAGCUCGUGUCGUGAGAUGUUGGGUUAAGUCCCGUAACGAGCGAAACCCUGUCUUAGUUGCCAGCGUACGGGACUCUAGGAGACUGCCGUUGUCAAACGGAGGAAGGUGGGGACGACGUCAAGUCAUCAUGGCCCUUAUGCCGGGCGACACACGUGCUACAAUGGGGUACAAGGGCCACCGCGAGGCAAGGAAUCCCAAAACCACCCCAGUUCGGAUUGCAGGCUGCAAUUCGCCUGCAUGAAGCCGGAAUCGCUAGUAAUCGCGAUCAGCAUGCGCGGUGAAUAUGUUCCUGAUCCUUGUACACACCGCCCGUCAAGCCACGGAAGCGGGAGGCUGAA
rnacentral:rRNA from 1 species